UGGAGUGAUUUUUUUUAUUAUUAUUAAAUACAGGUUUGAAAACACAAAAAUAACAGUCGUGUCCAUCCACAGAGGAGGAGGUUCAGGAUAGAGACUAGACCAAAGGAUGAGAGAUGCUGAAGUAACAGAAUGAAUGGGCCGGAAACUACGCAUCUGGGCUGAAAAGAGACUGGGCAGUGAAUGUUCAUGGAAUCAUUACCAGAACCAUAGCUCUCUCCAGCAGACACCAUGAGGUGCCAUCAAGAACUUAUGUUUUAUUCAUUGAGCGGUACUAUUAACCAGUAGCUUCAGAAGCUGAGGACAAAAGAAGAAAAACGUGAAGCUGUUUGUCUCUCUGUCUCUCACCGUUCUGCUCCAAGAAUAUGCCAUCCACGGUUUGUCGGCCACCUAAGGCACUUCCUCGUAUGCAUACUGCACGUGAACCUCUGCCUCAGGGUCAGCUUCGUAGAGAACCUAACCUGCAUCCGUGUGCAUGGAAAACAGGGUUUCUUUUCUCUCCUGGAGCAAAACUAGAUUUAUCCAUUUGAGAGAGAGAGAGAACAUGGGGAGAGGGGGAGAGAGUCUCAAGAAGACUCCACGCUGAGCACAGAGCCAGACGCAGGGCUUGAUCCCACGACCCUGAGAUCAUGACCUGAGCUGAAACCAAGAGUCGGACGCUCAGCCAACCGCACCACCCAGGCGCCACAGCGCUGGUACGCCUUAGCUGAUUACGGCUGGAGGUAAUACUGGUAAAUGAAUAGUGGUACACCACACAGAACAAUGGGUUCCAAAAUCCAGCAGGGAAUUAAUAUUUUAUAAUAUUUCAUUCUAGAUAACUAGGUGAACUCUUCUUUUCAAAAUUCAGUUUCAAUGUCGCUGGCCUUGUUAUUCUUUCUGUAGCUUCCUCAGAAAAAGUCAAUCUCUUCCUUCACUUUGCUCACACAGCAGUGCGAAUCAGUGUCAGCCAUACUAAAGAUGGGAGAUGGGGGAGGGGGAGAGCAAUCUGCCCUGGGAGCAAGCAAAAAGGUGCUAAGUUGUCUGUGGAGAACUGAAAAACAAUAAAACUGACUAGAGGUCAGCUGCUUUUUAUUAUCACCAUGCACCAGCAACCCUAAACAAUGUCAGUAACAAAAUAUUCCUUCCUUCCCUGAGGAGUGCUCCACCAUAUCUCAUACACUCCUUUCCACCUUGGCCUACUAUGACUCGGUCUAUACCUUAAUUAUGGCAUCUGUCACCUUGUAUUAUACUGUUACCCCAGACCAUGGGUUCUUUAUGAUUUUGCUCCUUCUUUGUCAUCUCUCUAUGAUCCCUAUUAUAGUUCCUAACCAAAGUCAUCACCAAUAAUAUUUAGUUGAAUGAAUAAAGGAUAGUAGUUCAGUACUUCAUCUACAUGUGGGAGUAGCCGGUUAUUAGGGAGGUAAUAAAGUCUUCUAGCCUUAAAGCUCAACCAACAUCCUAAAUCAAUGUCAUUAUCAUCUCCUCAAACUUGAUUUUCUUUUACUUUUUCACAAUUAUAAAAUCAAAACUCCACUUCUGCUGGAACCACCAACCUAUUGGAAUAGAUGAAGUCAGGUAAGAGUAAUAACUUAAAUGUCCCAGUCCAUGUCUCUACCUGCCUACUCCAUGGACUGCCAACCCCAUGUAUUCAUGCAUGUGCUCCUGCAAUGGAUAAUUAUUUACACAAUGAGUAAAUAUUGAUGACCAUGUGCCAGGCAUGGUCUCAUCCAAGCAUGUCUGACAGUUCCAAGUGAGUGUCUUAGCCAUGACUGCAAAUAGAGUGGAACCCAAACACACAUUUCUCUUGCUACGAGUGACUUCCUCCCACAAUGCAACUUUAAUGCAUUAUUUCAUAACAUGUCUCUGAUGUAUAUGAGUCUUUGCAAAGACUCCUUCUGGGGGUUAGGAGAAGAGGGCAAAAGGGAAAGAAAAGUCUCUUUUGCCAUCUGUCACCCUUCAUUUCUUCAAUCUAUCCUUUACCUUUCAGCCAGACUACCUUGUAUGUAUAUGGAUAGGCUUAAGGCAAUUUCUUCACCAAAUCUUAUCAGUGGUUUCCUAUUCCUAUAAAGUAAACCCAAAUCUCAUGACAUUCAAGGUUAGUUGAAGAAAAAAAAAAACAUAUAAAUAAAUGUCACUGAACCAAAAUGACUAAUUUGUGGGAACUCUCAAAUUUUUUCUCCUCCCUGCCAACUGAAGAAUUAUCUGGCUCUGCCACGUAAGGGGUUUUCUUUCCCUUUUUCUCUUGAGGAGAGUUCUUCAGUGUCCCAUGCACAGCUGCUGGCUGGUGGUCUAGUGUAUGUAUAUAGUGCCCAAAGGCACCAGGGCCAGUGGGGAGCGGGCCUGAGCUUUAGCAUGUGGGGCAAGUUUGUCUUACUCGAACAGAAGUCCUGCAUGGUUGGGUUUUGUGAUUUAAAAUUGGGAGAACAUAAGAAGUCUGGGCAAGAGAAGAGAAAGAAAGGGGACACAGAGAGAGAAUGGCUAGAGUGGGGAAGGAGGGUUUUAGGGUAGUUAGUGGGAGAAAGGACCAGGGAAGCUGUGGGUCAGUAAGGAAAUAGGGUAGAAAUGAGAUUUUAAGAAGCGUUGCUCAAAUAAAGAAUCUGAGUUAAUAUGAAAUUUCUUUUGGUUGCUGGACUAUGCUUUCUUUGUCUGCCAUAGUGUUAGAAAAACCAUUUUACACGCCAGACUCCCUGUCUUAGUCUAACUAGCUAACCGGUUAAUUAAGGUCUGCAACUGCCUUCCAGGAAAAUGAGUGUUGGAAGAAGAAAUCCUUUCAUCCUUGCAGUUAUCAGCUGUUUGACCUUGAGAGAGUUAACGCUUUUCUGAACUUCCAUUUUUUUUUUCCAUCCGCAAAAGAGGGUAGUAAUACCACCUGCCUCAUGGAAUAGACAUUAGGAUGAAGUGAAAUCAUGUUUAUGGAAAGCUCUCUGCUCAGUAUUCAGCCUAGUGUGAGCGCUAAAUAAAUGAUCACAUCCGUUAUUGUUUAUGUUGUUAGAUGGGGAAAAUAAAACAGAAUCCUCAGAAGUCUCCAGGAAGAAAUUAGGUCUCCUGGCAAGGUAGAUGGGACCAAGAAGAGACCCUAGGGCUUGCUGACUUACGGCAAAGAGAAUCAAAUCAUUCUACUCCUGCAGUGGUUCUUGUAGUCCGUAGACACGCCUAUUUUUAUUUCUAACUCCUAACAUGUCCUACUUCCCUGAAGUACUAGUUGUUUAUGGUAAGCCUUUCAUAUAAUUUUAACAUUUUUCUGCAUCUCAUUUGCUAAGUUGUUUGUUUGUCUUUUCCAUAUUCCAUCUUGUUUGCUUGCUCCUACUCAAUCCUAUUUCUACUAAGAUUUGAGGAUAGCAAAGGUUCUCUGAACUUGAAUUUAAAUGGUGAAAAUAAGCUUACCAUCCCAUCCCUUUCUCUCCCAACCAUUGCCCUGUCCCUUCUUGUGGCCUAACAGCCCCCUACCCGCCUUCUGCCUUUCUCCCAAGAAUGACUUGUUCCUUAAGAUAUCAGCUCUCACCUCCAGAGGUGAAAAGGAUAGAGGCCUUUAAUCAGUGGUAUCUUUUUGUUUCCUAUGGAAUCAAAAACAAAACAUCAAAACCACACUCCUUCAACAGCUAGUUGUAAUCAUAAGACAGAUACAACUUGCAAUUCAGACAAACACUGAAGCAAAAGCUCUUUGAGCCGGAGUGGUCCAAAGGGACACUGCCCGUCUUUCUUGUGGUUUUCUUCCACUUUCUCCUAAAACUUGCUCUUUGCUGUCUUACGGGGUUCUGCCCGCUCACACCAUUUUCAGAGGCUCAAUGUUCUUAAUCUGUGGGCUGAGGUUACUAGCGCAAAAGCUUACCAGUGGAAUCCACGGAUGAUUUCAAGGGAAAGAGACCAUUUAAGACUAUCUUAGGGGUUCCUGGGUGGUUCAGUCGGUUAAGAAUCCAACUCUAGGUUUCAACUCAGGUCAUGAUCUCAGGGUCCUGAGACCAAGCCCCUACUCUGGCUCUGUG